rnacentral:rRNA from 2 species
AACGACUCUCGGCAACGGAUAUCUCGGCUCUCGCAUCGAUGAAGAACGUAGCGAAAUGCGAUACUUGGUGUGAAUUGCAGAAUCCCGUGAACCAUCGAGUCUUUGAACGCAAGUUGCGCCCGAAGCCACUAGGUCGAGGGCACGUCUGCCUGGGCGUCACGCA